UAGGCCAGGCAGAGCAAGGCCUCUGGCCUCCAGGCCCAGGCAACCAGGAUGCUAGGGCCUGACUUGGCCUGUGCCUCCCCGACCUCCUGCCUCUGGGCCUCCUCUGCCCAGUUCAGGGCAUCCUUGGCCUUGCCAUCCAGAGUCUCCCCAGUGGGGCUCCAAGCCUCCCUGCUCCCAGGAUCCUCUCUGGCCCUGCGCUGAAGCUCUGGAAGUUAGGCCUCCACUCCAAAGCCUCUCGUAGGUUUUCGCCUGCUAUUGCCUGGAUCUAGAUGGGAGGCAGCAGCCUCUCUCAGGGUUUUUACAACCCAGGGCCUCAGACCCCUGGCCGAGGGGGUGCUUGCUUUUGGGCAGGAAGGCCCAGGAACUGGGGACCUGGGAGUGGGCUCCCGCAGGAAGUGCCUGGCUCCCGGGCCUAGGGUCCAGUAAAGAGUCCGAGGCUGGAGUGGAGUCAGGUGGCUGUGGGGUGCAUGUUGUGUGCUACCUGGGAUGCGUGCUGUCCCGGCACGUGGGGGUGCUGGUGGUGGUGGUGUCCUGUGCACCUGGGGAGAUUUUCGUGUGUACUUGGGCGAACACGUGAAGGCAGAUGUGGAGUCCACCGGUGAAACCAAUAUUGAGGAGAAAGAAGUGAAAGUGAAAAAUCCUGGAGCUUCUGGAUACUCCAGAUACUCACCCGAGGGAUAGCAGAACCAGGACCUUAGGUCAAUGCCCGCGCCCUGCUGGAACCCAACUGCAGGGGCCCAAAGGGGCCCGAAGUGCAAGGCUGAGUCUCCAGCCCG